rnacentral:rRNA from 1 species
AGAUCAUCACUGGGCAUAAAGAGUGCGCAGGCGGUUUUGUAAGACAGAGGUGAAAUCCCCGGGCUCAACCUGGGAACUGCCUUUGUGACUGCAAGGCUGGAGUGCGGCAGAGGGGGAUGGAAUUCCGCGUGUAGCAGUGAAAUGCGUAGAUAUGCGGAGGAACACCGAUGGCGAAGGCAAUCCCCUGGGCCUGCACUGACGCUCAUGCACGAAAGCGUGGGGAGCAAACA